CAGCAGCCGCGGGAAUGCGUAGGGUGCGAGCGUUAAUCGGAAUUACUGGGCGUAAAGCGUGCGCAGGCGGUUGUGUAAGACAGGUGUGAAAUCCCCGGGCUUAACCUGGGAACUGCGCUUGUGACUGCACAGCUAGAGUAUGGCAGAGGGGGGUGGAAUUCCACGUGUAGCAGUGAAAUGCGUAGAGAUGUGGAGGAACACCGAUGGCGAAGGCAGCCCCCUGGGCCAAUACUGACGCUCAUGCACGAAAGCGUGGGCAGCGAACAGGAUUAGAUACCCCAGUAGUCCCUGUCUCUUAUAC
rnacentral:rRNA from 1 species